UACGUAGGGGGCAAGCGUUGUCCGGAUUUAUUGGGCGUAAAGAGCGUGUAGGCGGCCUGGAAGGUCAGCUGUGAAAACUCGAGGCUCAACCUCGAGACGUCGGUUGAAACCACCUGGCUAGAGUCCGGAAGAGGAGUGUGGAAUUCCCGGUGUAGCGGUGAAAUGCGCAGAUAUCGGGAAGAACACCCGUGGCGAAGGCGGCACUCUGGGAAGAUACUGACGCUGAGGUGCGAAAGCGUGGGGAGCAAACAGG
rnacentral:rRNA from 1 species